rnacentral:rRNA from 1 species
CAGCACCUCAAGUUGUCAGGAGGAUUAUUGGGCCUAAAGCAUCCGUAGCCUGCUCUGUAAGUUUCCGGGUUAAAUCCAUUAGCUCAACUAAUGGGCUGCCGGAAAAACUGCAAAGCUAGGAAGUGGGAGAGGUAGACGGUACUCGGUAGGAAGGGGUAAAAUCCUUUGAUCUAUUGAUGACCACCUGUGGCGAAGGCGGUCUACCAGAACACGUUCGACGGUGAGGGAUGAAAGCUGGGGGAGCAAACCGGAUUAGAUACCCGGGUAGUCCCAGCUGUAAACGAUGCAGACUCGGUGAUGCACUGGCUUGUGGCCAGUGCAGUGCCGCAGGGAAGCCGUUAAGUUUGCCGCCUGGGAAGUACGUACGCAAGUAUG